rnacentral:sRNA from 1 species
AACGGCGAGGAUGCCGAGAGGAACCGGACUUAAGGAUAAGGGUCAGGAGCGCCAGGAGGCGAAGACACAGGAUUGUCAGGAAGACGCACGCCUCGGAGGCGUUGAAAAGGGAAAAGGACCUAUCACGGACGGUACCUGCUAACGGAAAAACAGGGUUAGUUGUCAGCAAACAGGGAUUGUCAGACCCAUAACGGGUUGUGAGUCAGGAAAAAAGGCGACAGAUUGCUCUGUCGCCUUUUUUCUUUGCUUGCUU